rnacentral:rRNA from 1 species
GGUUAAGCGACUAAGCGUACACGGUGGAUGCCCUGGCAGUCAGAGGCGAUGAAGGACGUGCUAAUCUGCGAAAAGCGUCGGUAAGGUGAUAUGAACCGUUACAGCCGGCGAUGUCCGAAUGGGGAAACCCAGUGCAAUUCGUUGCACUAUCGUUAACUGAAUACAUAGGUUAACGAGGCGAACCGGGGGAACUGAAACAUCUAAGUACCCCGAGGAAAAGAAAUCAACCGAGAUUCCCCCAGUAGCGGCGAGCGAACGGGGAGCAGCCCAGAGUCUGAAUCAGCUUGUGUGUUAGUGGAACGGUCUGGAAAGUCCGACGGUACAGGGUGAUAGUCCCGUACACCAAAAUGCACAGGCUGUGAACUCGAAGAGUAGGGCGGGACACGUGGUAUCCUGUCUGAAUAUGGGGGGACCAUCCUCCAAGGCUAAAUACUCCUGACUGACCGAUAGUGAACCAGUACCGUGAGGGAAAGGCGAAAAGAACCCCGGCGAGGGGAGUGAAAAAGAACCUGAAACCGUGUACGUACAAGCAGUGGGAGCACCUUCGGGUGUGACUGCGUACCUUUUGUAUAAUGGGUCAGCGACUUAUAUUCUGUAGCAAGGUUAACCGUAUAGGGGAGCCGCAGGGAAACCGAGUCUUAACUGGGCGUUAAGUUGCAGGGUAUAGACCCGAAACCCGGUGAUCUAGCCAUGGGCAGGUUGAAGGUUGGGUAACACUAACUGGAGGACCGAACCGACUAAUGUUGAAAAAUUAGCGGAUGACUUGUGGCUGGGGGUGAAAGGCCAAUCAAACCGGGAGAUAGCUGGUUCUCCCCGAAAGCUAUUUAGGUAGCGCCUCGUGAAUUCAUCUUCGGGGGUAGAGCACUGUUUCGGCUAGGGGGUCAUCCCGACUUACCAACCCGAUGCAAACUACGAAUACCGAAGAAUGUUAUCACGGGAGACACACGGCGGGUGCUAACGUCCGUCGUGAAGAGGGAAACAACCCAGACCGCCAGCUAAGGUCCCAAAGUCACAGUUAAGUGGGAAACGAUGUGGGAAGGCACAGACAGCCAGGAUGUUGGCUUAGAAGCAGCCAUCAUUUAAAGAAAGCGUAAUAGCUCACUGGUCGAGUCGGCCUGCGCGGAAGAUGUAACGGGGCUAAACUGUGCACCGAAGCUGCGGCAGCGACACUAUGUGUUGUUGGGUAGGGGAGCGUUCUGUAAGCCUGCGAAGGUGGCCUGUGAGGGUUGCUGGAGGUAUCAGAAGUGCGAAUGCUGACAUAAGUAACGAUAAUGCGGGUGAAAAGCCCGCACGCCGGAAGACCAAGGGUUCCUGUCCAACGUUAAUCGGGGCAGGGUGAGUCGACCCCUAAGGCGAGGCCGAAAGGCGUAGUCGAUGGGAAACAGGUUAAUAUUCCUGUACUUGGUGUUACUGCGAAGGGGGGACGGAGAAGGCUAUGUUAGCCGGGCGACGGUUGUCCCGGUUUAAGCAUGUAGGCGGAGGUUCCAGGUAAAUCCGGUACCUUUUAACGCUGAGGUGUGAUGACGAGGCACUACGGUGCUGAAGUAACAAAUGCCCUGCUUCCAGGAAAAGCCUCUAAGCAUCAGGUAACAUUGAAUCGUACCCCAAACCGACACAGGUGGUCAGGUAGAGAAUACCAAGGCGCUUGAGAGAACUCGGGUGAAGGAACUAGGCAAAAUGGUGCCGUAACUUCGGGAGAAGGCACGCUGAUAUGUAGGUGAAGCCCCUGCGGGUGGAGCUGAAAUCAGUCGAAGAUACCAGCUGGCUGCAACUGUUUAUUAAAAACACAGCACUGUGCAAACACGAAAGUGGACGUAUACGGUGUGACGCCUGCCCGGUGCCGGAAGGUUAAUUGAUGGGGUUAUCCGUAAGGAGAAGCUCUUGAUCGAAGCCCCGGUAAACGGCGGCCGUAACUAUAACGGUCCUAAGGUAGCGAAAUUCCUUGUCGGGUAAGUUCCGACCUGCACGAAUGGCGUAAUGAUGGCCAGGCUGUCUCCACCCGAGACUCAGUGAAAUUGAACUCGCUGUGAAGAUGCAGUGUACCCGCGGCAAGACGGAAAGACCCCGUGAACCUUUACUAUAGCUUGACACUGAACAUUGAGCCUUGAUGUGUAGGAUAGGUGGGAGGCUUUGAAGCGUGGACGCCAGUCUGCGUGGAGCCAACCUUGAAAUACCACCCUUUAAUGUUUGAUGUUCUAACGUUGGCCCCUUAUCGGGGUUGCGGACAGUGUCUGGUGGGUAGUUUGACUGGGGCGGUCUCCUCCCAAAGAGUAACGGAGGAGCACGAAGGUUAGCUAAUCCUGGUCGGACAUCAGGAGGUUAGUGCAAUGGCAUAAGCUAGCUUGACUGCGAGCGUGACGGCGCGAGCAGGUGCGAAAGCAGGUCAUAGUGAUCCGGUGGUUCUGAAUGGAAGGGCCAUCGCUCAACGGAUAAAAGGUACUCCGGGGAUAACAGGCUGAUACCGCCCAAGAGUUCAUAUCGACGGCGGUGUUUGGCACCUCGAUGUCGGCUCAUCACAUCCUGGGGCUGAAGUAGGUCCCAAGGGUAUGGCUGUUCGCCAUUUAAAGUGGUACGCGAGCUGGGUUUAGAACGUCGUGAGACAGUUCGGUCCCUAUCUGCCGUGGGCGCUGGAGAAUUGAGGGGGGCUGCUCCUAGUACGAGAGGACCGGAGUGGACGCAUCACUGGUGUUCGGGUUGUCAUGCCAAUGGCAUUGCCCGGUAGCUAAAUGCGGAAGAGAUAAGUGCUGAAAGCAUCUAAGCACGAAACUUGCCCCGAGAUGAGUUCUCCCUGACUCCUUGAGAGUCCUGAAGGAACGUUAAAGACGAUGACGUUGAUAGGUCGGGUGUGUAAGCGUAGCGAUACGUUGAGCUAACCGAUACUAAUGAACCGUGAGGCUUAACCUU